AAUGAACGCUGGCGGCAGGCCUAACACAUGCAAGUCGAGCGAGCAUUUCGGUGCUAGCGGCGGGCGGGUGAGUAACGCGUGGGAACGUGCCCUUUUCUGCGGAAUAGUCCUGGGAAACUGGGGGUAAUACCGCAUACGCCCUUUUGGGGAAAGAUUUAUCGGAGAAGGAUCGGCCCGCGUUGGAUUAGGUAGUUGGUGGGGUAAUGGCCCACCAAGCCGACGAUCCAUAGCUGGUUUGAGAGGAUGAUCAGCCACACUGGGACUGAGACACGGCCCAGACUCCUACGGGAGGCAGCAGUGGGGAAUCUUAGACAAUGGGGGCAACCCUGAUCGAGCCAUGCCGCGUGAGUGAUGAAGGCCUUAGGGUUGUAAAGCUCUUUCAGCUGGGAAGAUAAUGACGGUACCAGCAGAAGAAGCCCCGGCUAACUCCGUG
rnacentral:rRNA from 1 species